rnacentral:rRNA from 1 species
CGAACGGGUGAGUAAUGCGUGACCAACCUGCCCCAUGCUCCAGAAUAGCUCUUGGAAACGGGUGGUAAUGCUGGAUGCUCCAACUUGACGCAUGUCUUGUUGGGAAAGUGUUUAGUGGCAUGGGAUGGGGUCGCGUCCUAUCAGCUUGUAGGCGGGGUAAUGGCCCACCUAGGCUUCGACGGGUAGCCGGCCCUGAGAGGGCGGACGGCCACAUUGGGACUGAGAGUACGGCCCAGACUCCGUACGGGAGGCAGCAGGC